rnacentral:misc_RNA from 1 species
UAAAACAAAAAGCAAACAACAAAGAAAUCUACAACAUCAACCGGCUGAUGAACUCCAUAGUUAAGUUCGAGCCACCUCUUGUAAAGAAAGAAAUAGUACAAUGCAAAAGGUGCCAAAGGUACGGCCACACGCAGAAAUACUGCAAUCAUAACUUCCGAAAGACUACCUCCAAGCAACAAACGUAGCAAUAGAAGACUGUCAUGGUACAAUCACCACUUCAGCUGUAUACUGCCCUCCCAGAAGACACUCCAUCGCCAAAGAAGACUUUGAUAACUUCCUGGACACCCUGGGCAAUAGAUUCAUAGCUGGAGGAGACUACAACGCCAAACACACCCAAUGGGGCAGCAGACUGGUUACAGUAAGAGGCAAGAACCUCCUCAACAGCAUAAUAACCAACAACCUCAACUACCUUACCACAUACGAACCCACAUACUGGCCCACCGACACAAACAAAAUACCCGAUCUUCUUGAUUUCCUCAUAACUAAAAAUAUCUCGUCAAGACACGUCCAAAUCAAUUCCUCGGCUGAUCUCUC